rnacentral:ncRNA from 1 species
AGGAGCCGUAUGAGGUGGGAAUCUCAUGUACGGUUUUGAAGCGGAUCAUUGAAAUGGAAUGAAGGACCGUAACGAUAUCAGCUCAAU